rnacentral:rRNA from 1 species
AACGAACGCUGGCGGCAGGCCUAACACAUGCAAGUCGAGCGAAACCUUCGGGUUUAGCGGCGGACGGGUUAGUAACGCGUGGGAACGUACCCUUUACUGCGGAAUAGCCACUGGAAACGGUGAGUAAUACCGCAUACGCCCUUCGGGGGAAAGAUUUAUCGGUAAAGGAUCGGCCCGCGUUAGAUUAGGUAGUUGGUGGGGUAAUGGCCUACCAAGCCUACGAUCUAUAGCUGGUUUGAGAGGAUGAUCAGCAACACUGGGACUGAGACACGGCCCAGACUCCUACGGGAGGCAGCAGUGGGGAAUCUUCGGCAAUGGGGGCAACCCUGACCGAGCCAUGCCGCGUGAGUGAUGAAGGCCUUAGGGUCGUAAAGCUCUUUUGCCAGAGAUGAUAAUGACAGUAUCUGGUAAAGAAACCCCGGCUAACUCCG